CCUACGGGCGGCAGCAGUGAGGAAUAUUGGUCAAUGGGCGUAAGCCUGAACCAGCCAAGUCGCGUGAGGGAUGAAGGUUCUAUGGAUCGUAAACUUCUUUUAUAAGGGAAUAAAGUGCGGGACGUGUCCCGUUUUGUAUGUACCUUAUGAAUAAGGAUCGGCUAACUCCGUGCCAGCAGCCGCGGUAAUACGGAGGAUCCGAGCGUUAUCCGGAUUUAUUGGGUUUAAAGGGUGCGUAGGCGGCAUUUUAAGUCAGGUGUGAAAGUCUGUGGCUCAACCAUAGAAUUGCCGUUGAAACUGGGAGGCUUGAGUACGGUUGAGGUAGGCGGAAUGCGUGGUGUAGCGGUGAAAUGCUUAGAUAUCACGAAGAACCCCGAUUGCGAAGGCAGCUUACUAGGCCAUGACUGACGCUGAGGCACGAAAGCGUGGGGAUCAAACAGGAUUAGAUACCCGAGUAGUC
rnacentral:rRNA from 1 species